rnacentral:rRNA from 1 species
AUGAACGCUGGCGGCGUGCCUAAUACAUGCAGGUCGAGCGAACAGACGAGGAGCUUGCUCCUCUGACGUUAGCGGCGGACGGGUGAGUAACACGUGGAUAACCUACCUAUAAGACUGGGAUAACUUCGGGAAACCGGAGCUAAUACCGGAUAAUAUAUUGAACCGCAUGGUUCAAUAGUGAAAGACGGUUUUGCUGUCACUUAUAGAUGGAUCCGCGCCGCAUUAGCUAGUUGGUAAGGUAACGGCUUACCAAGGCGACGAUGCGUAGCCGACCUGAGAGGGUGAUCGGCCACACUGGAACUGAGACACGGUCCAGACUCCUACGGGAGGCAGCAGUAGGGAAUCUUCCGCAAAGGGCGAAAGCCUGACGGAGCAACGCCGCGUGAGUGAUGAAGGUCUUCGGAUCGUAAAACUCUGUCAUUAGGGAAGAACAAAUGUGUAAGUAACUAUGCACGUCUUGACGGUACCUAAUCAGAAAGCCACGGCUAACUACGUG